CAACUACUCCCUCUGUCCCAAAUUUCUUGUCUAAGAUUUGUCUAGAUACGGAUGUAUCUAAUACUAAAAUGUGACUUGAUACAUCCGUAUCUAGACAAAUCUAAGACAAUAAUUUUGGGAUGAAGGGGGUACUUU
rfam:Triticum aestivum genome assembly, contig: Triticum_aestivum_CS42_TGACv1_scaffold_499733_6BL